GUAGAACAACAGAUAUAAAUAUAAACAAACACAUGCAGGCUGUUUAAACUAACAAGCCACUAAAAUAGAUACCAAAAUAAUUUGAUAUCAUCACAAUUAUGGAUCCUAUAACACAAUGGACUUAAACAAGGUAUAGUAACUUUUCUGCAUAAACCUCGCUCUGCUAGUGUCUGCCGAACUGCAAAAUUUUAGCAAUCAACUUUUGCAGCAGAAGAAUAAUACCACUAUCUUCUGCCAUAGGUCCUUCCUUAAUCGACUUUUAUCAACUUCCAACAUUCUCACCGGGCUUCCAUUCCAUUCUUCAGGAGCAGCAUAUGAUGUUGGACCGCCAGAUAGAGGGCCCUCAGCACAGAAACAAGUCUCUUGAGGAUCAUUGUCUUGUCUUUUUCCUGAACCUGUUGGACUUUGUGAGUUACACAUCUCAGACCUACACAUGAUUGUGUCAGCAACUUGCACACAAUCUGCACAACAUGGAAACUCCACCCUUCUGCCAACUGUACCCAAAAAUGAAUUUAUUUGCCAAUUCUUGAGAGAUCUUGAAAAGUCUGCUUCCGUUGCUAUUGCCUACGGAUUGUUAAAGAUACAAUAGUUCAAUGCAAAUUUUGGAAUGAUACAAUUUUUCUUCAUGGUCUUUUCAUUAUUCGCCCG
rnacentral:sRNA from 1 species